GCAGAUGGCGUGACUGCCGACUCACUGCUUGUGGGUCGGACAGCCGCCGGAGGCCGUUGUGACGCUGCCCCCUGACGCGCCACUUCGGCAAAGCUUUUCUUUGGCAGGAUGGGCACGACCGUGAGUACGCGGCGUGAUCCCCAUCACAGUUUACACAGUGUAGAGAGUUCUUACAUUCUUCAGUUGCGUGUUCAAGGGCACUGCAUUUGGCGCAUGUUUGGCGGCCUCGGCAGCUCUGCGAGCUGUGGCCAAAACGUUGGCAUUUGAAACAUCUCAAGGGAUUUGGCACAUACGGGCGUACACGAAGCUUGAUGUACCCGGCCUCGAUUGACUCGGGCAGGACACUUGAAUUGAAGCCCUCCAAGAGCUCAGCCUCAGAGAGCUCCAGCAAAUCAUCGUCCGAGACAACGCCGCGGGAAGUAUUCAUCGUGCGGUGCGGGGUUACUACUACUUGGGUCUCCCCAAAUGAUACUAGUUUUGGCAGUUUCUCAAAU
rnacentral:lncRNA from 1 species